rnacentral:rRNA from 1 species
CCUACGGGAGGCAGCAGUGGGGAAUAUUGGACAAUGGGCGAAAGCCUGAUCCAGCAAUGCCGCGUGAGUGAUGAAGGCCUUAGGGUUGUAAAGCUCUUUUACUAGGGAUGAUAAUGACAGUACCUAGAGAAUAAGCCCCGGCUAACUCCGUGCCAGCAGCCGCGGUAAUACGGAGGGGGCUAGCGUUGUUCGGAAUUACUGGGCGUAAAGAGUACGUAGGCGGUUAUUCAAGUCAGAGGUGAAAGCCUGGAGCUCAACUCCAGAACUGCCUUUGAAACUAGAUAGCUAGAAUCAUGGAGAGGUUAGUGGAAUUCCGAGUGUAGAGGUGAAAUUCGUAGAUAUUCGGAAGAACACCAGUGGCGAAGGCGACUAACUGGACAUGUAUUGACGCUGAGGUACGAAAGCGUGGGGAGCAAACAGGAUUAGAUACCCUGGUAGUCCACGCCGUAAACGAUGAUAACUAGCUGUUCGGGCUCUCAGAGCUUGAGUGGCGCNGCGACGCAUUAAGUUAUCCGUCCGUGGGAGGUACGGUCGCGAGAAUAAACUACAAUAGAGUUAGUACGGCGUGAGACGUGCCGACGGACGACGACGAGGGAGGUUAGG